CCUACGGGGUGCAGCAGUGGGGGAUAUUGCACAAUGGGGGAAACCCUGAUGCAGCGACGCCGCGUGGGUGAAGAAGCGCCUCGGCGCGUAAAGCCCUGUCAGCAGGGAAGAAAAUGACGGUACCUGAAGAAGAAGCCCCGGCUAACUACGUGCCAGCAGCCGCGGUAAUACGUAGGGGGCAAGCGUUAUCAGGAUUUACUGGGUGUAAAGGGGGCGCAGACGGCGAUGCAAGCCAGGAGUGAAAGCCCGGGGCCCAACCCCGGGACUGCUCUUGGAACUGCGUGGCUAGAGUGCAGGAGGGGCAGGCGGAAUUCGUGGUGUAGCGGUGAAAUGCGUAGAUAUCAGGAGGAACACCGGUGGCGAAGGCGGCCUGCUGGACUGCAACUGACGUUGAGGCCCGAAAGCGUGGGGAGCAAACAGGAUUAGAUACCCGAGUAGUC
rnacentral:rRNA from 1 species